GGGAAUACAGAAUCUCAUUGUUGAAAUGUCAUGUAAGACUUUCUUUCUACCAACAAGUCAUUAUUAAUGAUAGUAAUUCUGAUGCAUGAACUUAAUUAUAAUUGACCUUGUCACAUUGCAGCUGUUACUGAUAUUGACACAAGUGGCAUCCAUGCCUUUGAAGAAUUAUACAAGUCCCUUCAGAAAAGAGAAGUUCAGCUUAUAUUGGCGAAUCCGGGGCCAGUUGUAAUAGAGAAGCUCCAUGCAUCCAAGCUUACCGAUCUAAUUGGAGAAGAUAAAAUAUUUCUCACAGUGGCUGAUGCUGUUGCAACUUUUGGUCCAAAGGGUGUUAAAUAAAACAUAUCUGUUUCAAGAUCAAAUUCAAGUGUUGAUUGAAGCCACGGUUAUAAUUAAGAUGCUACAAAUACAAACGGGUGGGGAUUAGUAUAAUAUUGUUUAAUAUAUAGUCUUAUAGGGAAUUAUUAUUAGUCACCUUGAUCUGUCUUCUAUGUAGUUUCAUUUAAUUUUGUUUGUCUUUGAUUUUACAUAUAGUCCCAAUUAAUGUAUAGAAACAAAAUUACAUGUUCUGUUUUUCAACUGGUAGUUGUGAUUUACAAUACAAUAUACUUUAAGGUUGC